GAUGAAGAACGUAGCGAAAUGCGAUAAGUAAUGUGAAUUGCAGAAUUCAGUGAAUCAUCGAAUCUUUGAACGCAUCUUGCGCUCCUUGGUAUUCUGAGGAGCAUGCCUGUUUGAGUGUCAUUAAAUUCUCAACUACACUGACUUUGAAUUGGUGUGGCUUGGAUUUGGGGGAAAAUUGUUGUGGGCUUUUUGUAUAGUCUGCUCCCCUGAAAUUGAUUAGCGGUACCUUUGUGGAACUGUCUACAGGUGUGAUAAUUAUCUACAUCUUAGACAUCUGCUGGAAUGCUGCUUUCUAAACCUUACUUGUAUUGACAAUCUUGACCUCAAAUCAGGUAGGACUACCCGCUGAACUUAAGCAUAUCAAUAAGCGGAGGA
rnacentral:misc_RNA from 1 species